GAACAAUCCGGGGCCGCACCUCGGGCCCUAUGUGCUUCCCGCGCGCAUGCAGGCGGGCGAGUGACCUCGCGCGUCGUUCGCAUCGGCGGUGGUUCC
rnacentral:tRNA from 1 species